rnacentral:snRNA from 1 species
GUGCUUCAGCAGCACGUGUACUAAAAUUGGAGCAAUACACAGAAAAUCAGCAUGGUCCCUAUGCAAGGAUGAUAGGAUGAUUCAUGAAGUGUUCCACAGUUUU